AGUAACACGUAAACAACCUGCCUUCAGGAUGGGGACAACAGACGGAAACGACUGCUAAUACCGAAUACGUUCCACGGCCGCAUGACCUGUGGAAGAAAGGGUAGCCUCUACCUGUAAGCUAUCGCCUGAAGAGGGGUUUGCGUCUGAUUAGGCAGUUGGUGGGUAACGGCCCACCAAACCAACGAUCAGUAGCCGGUCUGAGAGGAUGAACGGCCACACUGGAACUGAGACACGGUCCAG
rnacentral:rRNA from 1 species